CCUACGUGAGGCAGCAGUGAGGAAUAUUGGUCAAUGGGCGCGAGCCUGAACCAGCCAAGUAGCGUGAAGGAUGAAUGCCCUACGGGUUGUAAACUUCUUUUAUAAAGGAAUAAAGUGAGGCUCGUGUGCCUUUUUGUAUGUACUUUAUGAAUAAGGAUCGGCUAACUCCGUGCCAGCAGCCGCGGUAAUACGGUGGAUCCGAGCGUUAUCCGGAUUUAUUGGGUUUAAAGGGAGCGUAGAUGGGUUGUUAAGUCAGUUGUGAAAGUUUGCGGCUCAACCGUAAAAUUGCAAUUGAUACUGGCAGUCUUGAGUACAGUUGAGGUAGGCGGAAUUCGUGGUGUAGCGGUGAAAUGCGUAGAUAUCACGAAGAACUCCGAUUGCGAAGGCAGCUUACUAAACUGCCACUGACAUUGAUGCUCGAAAGUGUGGGUAUCAAACAGGAUUAGAUACCCGUGUAGUC
rnacentral:rRNA from 1 species